rnacentral:sRNA from 1 species
UGCAAGAAGUAACUCCAGUCACGUGAUG